rnacentral:lncRNA from 1 species
GGGCGAAGAGGUGGCGGGGGCGGUCCCAGCGAGGCAGCGUUCUGAUUACUUAUACUUCAGAAGCCUAUCAAAAAGGCGCAAGCGCAUUGAGGGUAUUAGGCGGGGGCCGGAAGUAGAAGAGAAGGGAGGGGGUGAGUGUCCCGAGGGGAGGAGUCUAAGACCUUCGCCAAAGAAGCUUGUUGACUGGCUCUGCGCUCGCCAGGCACAGGUGGGGCCGAAGCUCAUGAAGCUGUUUGUGCAGCCUCAACUACGGUAUACUCAAGAUGGCCACAGGAAAGAUGGGACUGGCGCCAGAGGCAUAGCCGCAGAGAGGCUAGAAUGAGAUUCUAGAGUUCUCAAGGAAUCUGGACAAGGUCUGAUGUGGUGUGUUAAAUUUGCAUAAAUUCAAAUGCCAUAUACUAUAUAUUCUCCAAUGUCCCCAAGGGGUUAAGUAAAAGACUGGAUAAUCAAAUGUGUUCAUAGAUCAACUUGAUUGUCAACUUUCUUAAAAACCAGAAACUUAGCCUAUUGUGGUGGUGUACACUUGUAAUCUCAGUGCUUGGGAGGGUGAAGCAGGAGGAUGAUGAAUUUGAGACCAACCUGGGCUACAGAGCAUGACCCUACCUCACAAACAAAACAAAAUAAUCCUUGGUUUUAGAGCUUUUUGGAUUUCAGAAGUAGUGC